rnacentral:misc_RNA from 1 species
UCAACCCUCAAGCUUGGCUUGUUGUUGGAUCGUUUGUCGUGGUGACACGCCAAAGAUCCGAAAGACAAUGGCGGUGUCGUGUUGACCCCUCGUGCAAUGAGCUUUACAGCACGCACGGAUGAGGCUCAGCCGGCCCGGUCCUUACUUUUAAUAACUUAA